UACAGAGGUGGCAAGCGUUGUUCGGAAUUACUGGGCGUAAAGGGCGCGUAGGCGGCCUUGUCAGUCAGACGUGAAAUCCCCAGGCUUAACCUGGGAACUGCGUCUGAUACUACAAGGCUUGAGUGCGGGAGAGGGAUGUGGAAUUCCAGGUGUAGCGGUGAAAUGCGUAGAUAUCUGGAGGAACACCGGUGGCGAAGGCGGCAUCCUGGACCGACACUGACGCUGAGGCGCGAAAGCUAGGGGAGCAAACGGG
rnacentral:rRNA from 1 species